AGUCAAGCUACUAAGGGCGUACGGUGGAUGCCUUGGCGUUACUAGGCGAUGAAAGACGUGGCUAGCUGCGAUAAGCCUCGGGGAGCUGCUAAACAAGCUUAGAUCCGGGGAUCUCUGAAUGGGGCAACCUAUCCGGAGUAAUGUCCGGAUAUCCAUUGCUGAAUACAUAGGCAAUGGAGGCGAACGAAGGGAACUGAAACAUCUCAGUACCUUCAGGAAAAGAAAACAAAAGUGAUUUCCUCAGUAGCGGCGAGCGAACGGGAAAUAGCCUAAACCAGACAUGUGCAUAAGCCCACAGGCGUUGCAUGCCUGGUGUCGCGGGGUUUUGUUUGGCGAUGCUGUGGAGUCGCCGGGAAGUUAUAAAGGUAAUCUAUAGUCGAACCGUGUGGAAACGCGGGCCAGAGAAGGUGAUAGCCCUGUAGAUAAAAUAGAUUACCCUUCCUGAACAAAAUCCCCAAGUACUACGGGACACGUGAAACCCUGUAGGAAUCCGGGAGGACCAUCUUCUAAGGCUAAAUACUCAGUAACGACCGAUAGUGCACAAGUACCGUGAGGGAAAGGUGAAAAGAACCCCUGUCGGGGAGUGAAAAAGAACCUGAAACCGUAUGCCUACAAGCAGUAGAAGCCCUAUGUAUAUAUGCUUGCAUAUAUACAGGGUGACUGCGUGCCUUUUGCAUAAUGAGUCCGCGAGUUACUCAAUGCAGCAAGGUUAAGCCGUAAGGUGGAGCCGUAGCGAAAGCGAGUCUGAAUAGGGCGUUUAGUUGCAUUGAGUAGACCCGAAACUGAGUGAUCUACCCAUGGCCAGGGUGAAGUCUCGGUAAAACGGGAUGGAGGCCCGAACCAGUGUGGGUUGAAAACCGCUUGGAUGAGCUGUGGGUAGGAGUGAAAGGCUAAUCAAACUCAGAGAUAGCUGGUUCUCCCCGAAAUAUAUUUUGGUAUAGCCUUGCAACUGGGCAGCGGAGGUAGAGCUCUGUUUGGGCUAGGGGUCUUAAAGGAUUACCAAACCCAGGCAAACUACGAAUGCCGUUUGUCUGAAUUGCAGGAGUCAGUCUACGGGAGAUAAGUUCCGUGGACGAGAGGGAAACAGCCCAGACCACCAGCUAAGGUCCCAAAUAUCUGCUAAGUGGUAAAGGAAGUGGAGACGCACAGACAGCCAGGAGGUUGGCUUAGAAGCAGCCAUCCUUUAAAGAAAGCGUAACAGCUCACUGGUCAAGUGUGUCCGCGCCUAAAAUUUAUCGGGGCUUAAGCAGAUAACCGAAGCUGUGGCUUCUCGCUAACGCGGGAGGGGUAGGGGAGCGUUCCAGUUCCGUCGAAGCAGGACCGGAAGGACCUGUUGAGGUACUGGAAGUGAUUAUGCGGACAUGAGUAGCGAUAAAGCAGGUGAGAAACCUGCUCGCCGAAAGCCUAAGGGUUCCUGGGGAAGGUUAAUCCGCCCAGGGUUAGUCAGUACCUAAGCCGAGGCUGAGAAGCGUAGGUGAUGGACAACAGGUUAAUAUUACCGUACCACCAGAAAGACGUUUGACUGAAGGGGUGACAUAGAAGGGUAGGCCAUCCGGGUGCUGGACGUCCCGGUUCAAACCCGUAGGUGGAGAAGACAGGCAAAUCCGUUUUCUCAUAAUAAACACCGAGAGGUGAUGAGGAGUCGCUUUGCGACACAAACUGGCUUAUCCCAUGCUAUCAAGAAAAACCUCGUAGGGAGUCUUUCUGGUGACUGUACCGCAAACCGACACAGGUAGGCAGGGUGAAAAUCCUAAGGCGCUUGAGAGAACUCUCGUUAAGGAACUCUGCAACUUAACUCCGUAACUUCGGGAAAAGGAGUGCCUCAUUAGCGUGAUGCGGUUCGCCCGCGGAGCGUGAAGAGGUCGCAGUGAAAGGGCGGUAGCGACUGUUUACUAAAAACACAGGUCUCUGCAAAGUCGUAAGACGAUGUAUAGGGACUGACGCCUGCCCGGUGCUGGAAGGUUAAGGGGAGGAGUUAUUCGCAAGAAGAAGCUCUGAACCGAAGCCCCAGUAAACGGCGGCCGUAACUAUAACGGUCCUAAGGUAGCGAAAUUCCUUGUCGGGUAAGUUCCGACCUGCACGAAUGGCGUAACGACUUCCGCGCUGUCUCGACGAGAGGCUCAGCGAAAUUAUAGCAGCGGUGAAGAUACCGUUUACCCGCAGUUAGACGGAAAGACCCCGUGAACCUUUACUACAACUUGACAGUGAGUUUUGGGAUGGUCUGUGUAGGAUAGGUGGGAGGCUGUGAAGUGUGGACGCUAGUCUGCAUGGAGCCGUCCUUGAAAUACCACCCUGAUUAUUCUGAGAUUCUAACCUGGACCCGUCAUCCGGGUCAGGGACACUGUCUGGUGGGUAGUUUGACUGGGGCGGUCGCCUCCUAAAGAGUAACGGAGGCGCGCGAAGGUUCCCUCAGGCUGAUUGGAAACCAGCCGUAGAGUGCAAAGGCAAAAGGGAGCUUGACUGCGAGAGAGACAUCUCGAGCAGGUGCGAAAGCAGGUCUUAGUGAUCCGGUGGUUCCGUAUGGAAGGGCCAUCGCUCAACGGAUAAAAGGUACUCCGGGGAUAACAGGCUUAUCUCCCCCAAGAGUCCACAUCGACGGGGAGGUUUGGCACCUCGAUGUCGGCUCAUCGCAUCCUGGGGCUGAACAAGGUCCCAAGGGUUUGGCUGUUCGCCAAUUAAAGCGGUACGUGAGCUGGGUUUAGAACGUCGUGAGACAGUUCGGUCCCUAUCUGCUGCGGGCGUAGGAUAUUUGAGAGGAGCUGUCCCUAGUACGAGAGGACCGGGAUGGACGAACCUCUAGUGUACCAGUUGUUUCGCCAGAAGCACGGCUGGGUAGCUAUGUUCGGAAUGGAUAACCACUGAAAGCAUCUAAGUGGGAAGCCAACCUCAAGAUAAGAUAUCCCUUCCGACUUCGGUCGGACUAAAGACCCCUAGUAGACUACUAGGUUGAUAGGCUGGAUGUGUAAGUUCGGUAACGAACUCAGCUUACCAGUACUAAUCGGUCGUGCGGCUUGACUAU
rnacentral:rRNA from 1 species